GCUAGAUUGCGGAUCCGCGGCCGCAGAGGUUUAUCCUGGCUCAGGAUGAACGCUGGCGGCGUGCUUAACUCAUGCAAGUCGAACGGGGGUCAUCGGGUGGAACUUUUCGGAGGGAAGCCUUAUGACUCGAGUGGCGGACGGGUGAGUAACACGUGAGUAACCUGCCUUUUGCUGGGGAAUAACUGUGGGAAACCAUGGCUAAUACCGCAUACUGUGUCUACAAGGCAUCUUGUGGAUAUGAAAGGAGCAAUCCGGCAGAAGAUGGGCUCGCGUCCGAUUAGGUAGUUGGUGGGGUAAUGGCCUACCAAGCCUGCGAUCGGUAGCCGGACUGAGAGGUCGAACGGCCACAUUGGGACUGAGACACGGCCCAGACUCCUACGGGAGGCAGCAGUGGGGAAUUUUGGGCAAUGGAGGAAACCCUGACCCAGCGACGCCGCGUGAAGGGACGAAGGCCUUCGGGUUGUAAACUUCUUUAGGGGAGGGACGAAAAAUGACGGGUACCUCCAGAAU
rnacentral:rRNA from 1 species